CAUAAGUUUGGUCCUAACUUUCCUAUUAAUUAUUAACAAAAUUACACAUGCAAGUAUCAGCCCCCCAGUGAGAAUGCCCUCUAAGUCAUCGAAUUGAAACAAAGGAGCAAGUAUCAGGCACACCCAAGGUAGCCCACGACACUUUGCUCAACCACACCCCCACGGGAAGCAGCAGUGAUAAAAAUUAAGCCAUGAACGAAAGUUCGACUAAGUUAUGUUAAUUAGGGUUGGUAAAUUUCGUGCCAGCCACCGCGGUCAUACGAUUAACCCAAAUUAAUAGUUUUCGGCGUAAAGCGUGGUUAAGGUAACGACACAAAAUAAAGUUAAACUGUAACUAAGCCGUAAAAAGCCCUAGCUAUUGUAAAAUAACCCACGAAAGUGACUUUAUACGCCUGAGCCCACGAUAGCUGAGACCCAAACUGGGAUUAGAUACCCCACUAUGCUCAGCCCUAAACAUAAAAAGUCAUACAACAAGACUAAUCGCCAGAGUACUACUAGCCAAAGCUUAAAACUCAAAGGACUUGGCGGUGCUUUAUAUCCGUCUAGAGGAGCCUGUUCUAUAAUCGAUAAACCCCGAUAAACCUCACCAACCCUUGCCAAAUCAGCCUAUAUACCGCCAUCCUCAGCAAACCCUAAAAGGGGAACAAAGUAAGCACAACUAUAGGACAUAAAAACGUUAGGUCAAGGUGUAGCUAAUGGGCUGGGAAGAAAUGGGCUACAUUUCCUAUCAAAGGCUACCAAAAAUAUAUACGAACAUUACUGUGAAACCAGUAAUAGAAGGUGGAUUUAGCAGUAGACUAAGAGCAGAGAGCUUAGUCGAACAUAGGCCAUGAAGCACGCACACACCGCCCGUCACCCUCCUCAAGCACUACCAAUCACCAUAAACUCUAUUAACAAAAUUGAACCUGUAAGAGGAGAUAAGUCGUAACAAGGUAAGUGUACUGGAAAGUGCGCUUGGACAACU
rnacentral:ncRNA from 1 species